rnacentral:rRNA from 1 species
CAGGGAAAUCCGCCCGAAAGUUCACCGAUAUUUCUUCAAUAGAGGAAGCAAAAGUCGUAACAAGGUAGCUGUAGGUGAACCUGCAGCUGGAUCAUUUUCCGGUCCAAAAAAAACAUAUACAACUCGGGGAGACCUAUGUAUAUAUAUAUGUAGGCCUUUCCUACCCCCAAAAAACAACUACAACAGUCUUUGCCGCUUGACGAGCACGCCUUUCGAGACGUCUCGUGGAGCACGGCCCCAACAACGUGUCGCGAUGGAUGACUUGAUUCGGUUUUUGGCGGGGUGGGUGCGUGUGUGGAUAACGGCUCACAUAACGUGUCGCGAUGGAUGACUUGG